UCCAGCAGCUAUCUCACCCUGCAGCUCACCACUGGCAGCCCACUGAAGCUCUGCAGGGGUGAGCCUGGCCAGUACCUGGAUGGGCGACUCCUGGGAAAGCCAAGGUUGCUGCUGGAA
rnacentral:rRNA from 1 species